UACAGAGGGGGCAAGCGUUAUUCGGAAUUAUUGGGCGUAAAGGGCGCGUAGGCGGCCUGGCAAGUGGAAGGUGAAAUCCCUCGGCUUAACCGAGGAACUGCCUUCCAAACUGCUUGGCUUGAGUCCGGGAGAGGUGAGUGGAAUUCCCAGUGUAGCGGUGAAAUGCGUAGAUAUCAGGAAGAACACCCGUGGCUAGGGCGGCUCUCUAGUACGGUACUGACGCUGAGACGCGAAAGCGUGGGGAGCGAACAGG
rnacentral:rRNA from 1 species